UCGGGGUGCACCAGGCGCGAAAACUUUACAAUGCUGGCAACAGCGAUAAGGGGACCUCGAGUGCCAGGAUACAAUCUUGGCUGUCGUAAUGCCUAAAAAGCAUUAUAUAGCAAGGGCCGGGCAAGACCGGUGCCAGCCGCCGCGGUAACACCGGCGGCUCGAGUGGUAACCGCUAUUAUUGGGUCUAAAGGGUCUGUAGCCGGCCGGAUAAGUCUUUUGGGAAAUCCAGCUGCUCAACAGUUGGGCUUUCAGAAGAUACUGUUCGGCUCGAGGCCGGGAGAGGUGAGAGGUACUUCAGGGGUAGGGGUGAAAUCUUGUAAUCCUUGAAGGACCACCAGUGGCGAAGGCGUCUCACCAGAACGGACCUGACGGCAAGGGACGAAAGCUAGGGGCACGAACCGGAUUAGAUACCCGGGUAGUCCUAGCCGUAAACGAUACUCGCUAGGUGUCAGCCACGGUGCGACCGUGGUUGGUGCCGUAGGGAAGCCGUGAAGCGAGCCACCUGGGAAGUACGGCCGCAAGGCUGAAACUUAAAGGAAUUGGCGGGGGAGCACAAUCACUAGUGAAUU
rnacentral:rRNA from 1 species